CUGGAAUUUAAUCCCUGUAACCAGCAGCAGAAGCUGUAAGCGAGAGGGUAUAAGGCGGUUGCCUGCUCAGACACGUGGGUUUCAUUUGGUACUCCAGUUUCCUCCCACAAAAUGACCCUCUACCGCAACAACCGUGCAAAUACAGUGGAGCCUCGGUAAUCCGGACGCCAUUAAUUCGGACGCUUCACCUUCCGGACGAUUUUUCUAGGGAAUGGAAUUUUUAUCCGUUAUAUUGCAUCAUUAAUCCGGAAAUUCGCGUUCCGGAUACGGACCGUCAUUUUUUACUACAAAACGUUAAAAUGCAUUGAAAAUUGUACCACUAAUCCGGACGGUAAUUUUUUUGAGGGAAGGUCUGUGUCGGACAAUUUUAGCAAGGCGUAAAUUAUAAAGAAAACAAGCCAAACUGUCUAAUUGAAGCAAUUACCUGUACCCCGUCAACACCUCCCUUUAAUUAGGUGGUGUGUGAUGAUAUGUCAGUUAGAUAGCACGUGCCAAUCGAGUUAUUGUAUUGUCAAUUUUUGCACAUAAGAUCUGUAUUGCGUGUAGUGUUGAAUUUUGUAAAUUAAUCUGUAGCAUUUUAAUUUAUAGUCUUGAUCAAUAGCCUAAUAGUAUUUUAAAGUAAAUUAUAAACAUCAUGCCGUGAUGAUGUAUUUUUUUUUUUUUUUUGGUUGAACUGCUACACAUAUCAGUUGUACUGAUUCGUAAAUUAAUAUCGGCUUAUUCAAAUAUAGAGAGUGUAGAUUAUACUUUUAGAUUCUGGAUUUUAUACUGCUGAUUUGCGUGAAAUAUACAUGCAUGUUCAUGUAUAUGUAGUAAGUUUUUAAUGUUUAGAAUGUCACGCAUGUAGAAUGUACCUGUGUACGAUUGUUUCUUGUUACGAUGUUGUAGAGUUUUAUUGCUUUCGAAUUUUUAAACUCUGGGUAGAAGUGAGAAAAUUACCAUUUUAAGAAAAAUGACAAUUAAAUUUUGUAUGUACCCGUAAUGUUGGUUUCACCCGAGUUUUGUUCCGUUAUUAUCGCAUCAUGAAAAUAAUAGGUGCGCAUGGCUAGAUCAAAGCAGUAGUAGGUCUUAAUAUUACGAGCUUAAAUGAUUUUGUUCUCCCGAUAUUGGCUUGGAUAAUUAUAGAAUAAGAAAUAUAAACUCUGGCAGAUGGAAUUUUGGUUAAAGAUGUUGUCAACCGACAUGACAAACAUGAAAUUCUUAAAUCAACUGUGGACGAUGAAUAUUGUUUAGACAGACCGCCGAACCCGUGAAUCGUGACAGAUGGAAAUGGCCAGCCUCUUUCAGAAGUAAAAGUGUGAUGAAAUGUUUGAAGUAUAAAAUGAUUAUGUUAGUUACUAAUGAUUGAUUUCUUUACAGUUACAUAUAGUGCUUCAUUAUUUGUUAUAGUGCAUACGGUACACAGUUUUGUAUAUUUAUUUGUAGUGCUAAUAUACAUGUACAUGUACAAUGUAAGCAUAGGCAAAUACACUGGACACGUAUAUUUCAAUUUUAGAGCUUUGAAAUGUAUGAAAAUGUUAAUAUUAUUAUGAUUUAUUUACUAAUGCAAAUGGUUAAAUCCAAUGAUAGAAUGUGUUUAAUUCACUAUGCAUCAAUAAAGUAAGCUUAUUGGUUACUUAUGUAAAGAUAAAAAAUAUGUGAUUCAGUUAUCUGGACGCUUCAUUUAUCCGGACGAUUUUGCUGGAAACCAAAGUGUCCGGAUUAACGAGGCUCCACUGUAUUUGAUUUGAUGUUUUUAAUUUUCAACAAGAUGUGUGUGUAAAACACAAAUGCCCCCGAUAAUGGCCAAUUCCAAAGAUGGCCAAUGUCACAAGGACAAAUAUCUUGGUACCAGUAGAAAGAUCUUGUCACAAGAAAUGGUCAUGUGCAAGAUGAAAGCUCUAAUUUACCAUUUAGAAGUUAUGACCAAUGUAAAGUUUUUUAAAAGUAGGUACAAAUGCCAAGGUGCCAACAGAAAGGUCUUGUCACAAGGAAUAACUCAUGUGAAAUAUCAAAGCUUUAGCACUUAUUGUUCAAAAAGUUAUUAGCAAGGUUAAAGUUUUCAUAAAGUAGGUCAAACUCCAAGGUUAAGGUCACAUGGUCAAAUAUUUUGGUACCCACGGAAAGGUCUUGUCACAAGGAAUACUCAUGUGAAAUAUCAAAGCUCUAGCACUUACUGUUCAAAAGUUAUUAGCAAGGAUAAAGUUUCAGACAGAAUUACAGAAUGAAAUGACAGACAGGACAAAAACAAUAUGCUCCCCGAUCUUUGAUCGAUCUGGGGGGGGGGGGGGGGGGGGGGGGGUGGGGGGGUGGGGGCAUAAAAACAUAUUUUUCAUACAAGAUAUUAUAUGCUGUUGAAUAUGAUGCAAUCAUAUAUCAAAAUAAAUGAUUUAAUCACAAUGUUUGCAAAAAACCUAAUGCUUGUAACAAGUUACCUACCAUCAUUCAAUGUAUUGAAUUGAACAUAAUUAAUCUGAUAAAACAUCAAUAGGAUUGGGUACAAGUUCAAAAACUUAGAGAGCCCUCUCUGAAUACAAUUAUACAUAAGAUUGUUUCAGACCUCUAUGAUAGUCUGUAGUGUCACUGGUCAACUGAGAGAUGAAUUAAACAAUAACUAUUCUCUUUGGCUUUUGGCUACCAUUAAGCAACAUAUCCAUGGGGGAUUGGGGUUGAUAAAUCUAUAAACUGUCAAGAAAUUUAUUUUGGCAAUUUAGAUACAUGGGUCAUUCUUCACAUCAUUUUCUGAGGCAAGGAACAAUUUAUUCCUGCUGUGUUUUUUUAUGUGGAUAUCAUUAAUUCAAAAGCUAUGCAGAUAUAAUUAAAAGUCUCCCUUCAAUGCUGGUUAGGAUUCAUCUACUGUUACCACCAGCUCCACUGCACCCCCAACCGAGUGAAACACAUAAACAAUAAAUAGAUCUAUAGCCACUAGACCCCAUAAUGUUUGUUUGUUGUGGAAGCACAUACUUAUCAAUAAUAUUCCUGUUUACUUGGCAUUCCUCACACAAAGCCGGCUUUUGUUGUGGGACACAGUAGCUAUUGUUUAGUUCAAGUACCUGCAUCCGCAGUGCAUCCUAACCACAUUUCUGUUAAUCACCUGCCUCAUACCAAUCAUCUCAAAAUGUCCACUGGAGGCUGACCUCAACGUUUUAGGAUUUUAACUUAAUUACGCUAAUCGAUUGCAGCUGUUUAAAGGCUUUUUAACAAGUACCUGUCAAAUCAUUUCCACCUAAAAUAUACAUUGAAUGUUUCCCCAAAUGAUUGGGAAAUUAACUUGAGGAAUAUUGCCCUCUUCUUAGCAUUUCUUACCUUCAGGCUGGUGAUAAAACCUAAUGUUGACAAAAUGAAAUUAACUGGAGGAGGAUCAUUUUUUCACCUUCUGUCUAAAAAAAUAUGUAUGAGAUGUGAAAUAUGAGGCCAUAAUCAAGCAUAUCCAAAAGUUCAGUGCCCUCUGUGAGUGACCUUGUCAGGGGUCACUGUACUGGGCAGAUAGCUAUGUCUAUCAGGACUGUCGAUCACUGCACACCAACCCAGACAUAAAUAAUAUCAUUACUGAACCUGCCCAACAAAACUGUAACCUAC